rnacentral:rRNA from 1 species
GACGAACCGAGCGAACGUUAUUCGGAAUCACUGGGCUUAAAGGGCGCGUAGGCGGCCCGGCGCGUCCGCGGUGAAAGCUCCCGGCUCAACUGGGAGAGGUCCGCGGAAACGGUCGGGCUGGAGCAAGGUAGGGGGUCGUGGAAUUCCCGGUGUAGUGGUGGAAUGCGUAGAGAUCGGGAGGAACACCAGUGGCGAAGGCGGCGACCUGGACCUGUGCUGACGCUGAGGCGCGAAAGCGUGGGGAGCGAUCCGG